AGCAGCCGCGGUAAUUCCAGCUCCAAUAGCGUAUAUUAAAGUUGUUGCAGUUAAAAAAGCUCGUAGUUGAAUUUCGGGAUCAAUUUAUCGGUCGUGCCAAUGGUAUGAACUGGUACAAUUGGUUUCUCCCUUCUGACGAAGCAUGAUGUCAUUAAUUUGGUGUCGUGGGGAAUCAGGACUGUUACUUUGAAAAAAUUAGAGUGUUUAAAGCAAGCAUUAGCUUGAAUACAUUAGCAUGG
rnacentral:rRNA from 1 species